rnacentral:rRNA from 1 species
AACGAACGCUGGCGGCAGGCCUAACACAUGCAAGUCGAGCGAGGACUUCGGUCCUAGCGGCGGACGGGUGAGUAACGCGUGGGAACGUGCCCUUUUCUUCGGGAUAGCCCUUUGAAACUGGGAGUAAUACCGGGUGAGCCCUUUUGGUGAAAGAUUUAUCGUCGAAGGAUCGGCCGGCGUUGGUUGAGGUAGUUGGUGUGGUAAUGGCCUACGAAGCCUACGAUCCAUAGCUGGGUUGAGAGGAUGAUCAGCCACACUGGGAGUGAGACACGGCCCAGACUCCUGCGGGAGGCAGCCGUGGGGAAUCUUAGAAAAUGGGGGAAAUCCUGAUCGAGUCAUGCCGGGUGAGCGAUGAAGGCCUUAGGGUUGUAAAGCUCGUUCAGCUGGGAAGAUAAUGACGGUACCAGAAGAAGAAGCCCCGGCUAACUUCGUG